GAUGAGUGGCGAAGGGGGAGUAAUACGUGAGUAACCUGCCCUUGACUCUGGGAUAAGCCUGGGAAACUGGGUCUAAUACUGGAUAUGACCUCCUGUCGCAUGGUGGGGGGUGGAAAGGGUUUGUACUGGUUGUGGAUGGGCUCACGGCCUAUCAGCUUGUUGGUGGGGUAAUGGCCUACCAAGGCGACGACGGGUAGCCGGCCUGAGAGGGUGACCGGCCACACUGGGACUGAGACACGGCCCAGACUCCUACGGGAGGCAGCAGUGGGGAAUAUUGCACAAUGGGCGCAAGCCUGAUGCAGCGACGCCGCGUGAGGGAUGACGGCCUUCGGGUUGUAAACCUCUUUCAGCACGGAAGAAGCGAAAGUGACGGUACGUGCAGAAGAAGCGCCGGCUAACUACGUGCCAGCAGCCGCGGUAAUACGUAGGGCGCAAGCGUUGUCCGGAAUUAUUGGGCGUAAAGAGCUCGUAGGCGGUUUGUCGCGUCUGCUGUGAAAGCCCGGGGCUUAACCCCGGGUGUGCAGUGGGUACGGGCAGACUUGAGUGCAGUAGGGGAGACUGGAACUCCUGGUGUAGCGGUGAAAUGCGCAGAUAUCAGGAAGAACACCGAUGGCGAAGGCAGGUCUCUGGGCUGUUACUGACGCUGAGGAGCGAAAGCAUGGGGAGCGAACAGGAUUAGAUACCCUGGUAGUCCAUGCCGUAAACGUUGGGCACUAGGUGUGGGGGACAUUCCACGUUUUCCGCGCCGUAGCUAACGCAUUAAGUGCCCCGCCUGGGGAGUACGGCCGCAAGGCUAAAACUCAAAGGAAUUGACGGGGGCCCGCACAAGCGGCGGAGCAUGCGGAUUAAUUCGAUGCAACGCGAAGAACCUUACCAAGGCUUGACAUACACCGGAUCGGCUCAGAGAUGGGUUUUCCUCCCCCCUUUUGCCUUCGUUUUUACAAUGAUUGUCAGUUUUUUUUUUUCUAACAUUUUUGGGAAGUUGGGUUAAGUUCCCGCAAACAAAGAGCCAAACCCUCGUUUUUUUUUUUUUUUUCCCCCCCCUGGGGGGGGGGAUCAAGGAGAGGUGCGGGGUCCACUCUGGAGGAAGGUGGGGAUGACGUCAAAUUCAUCAUGCCCCUUAUGUCUUGGGCUUCACGCAUGCUACAAUGGCCAGUACAAUGGGUUGCGAUACCGUGAGGUGGAGCUAAUCCCAAAAAGCUGGUCUCAGUUCGGAUCGUGGUCUGCAACUCGACCACGUGAAGUCGGAGUCGCUAGUAAUCGCAGAUCAGCAACCGUGCGGUGAAUACGUUCCCGGGCCUUGUACACACCGCCCG
rnacentral:rRNA from 1 species